GAUGAAGAACGCAGCGAAAUGCGAUACGUAAUGUGAAUUGCAGAAUUCAGUGAAUCAUCGAAUCUUUGAAAGCAUAUUGCGCUCUCUGGUAUUCCGGAGAGCAUGCUUGUUUGAGUAUCAGUAAACACCUCAACUUCCAUAUCUUUUUUGAAAUGGGAGUUGGACUUGAGUGAUCCCAACGCUUUUCCUCACCGAAAAGUGGCGGGUUACUUGAAAUGCAGGUGCAGCUGGACUUUUCUCUGAGCUAUAAGCAUAUCUAUUUAGUCUGCCUAAAAAACAGAUUAUUACCUUUGCUGCAGCUAACAUAAAGGAGAUUAGUUCUUGUGCUGACUGAUGCAGGAUUCACAAAGACGGCUUCGGCCGACUUUGUAAACUCGAUCUCAAAUCAAGUAAGACUACCCGCUGAACUUAAGCAUAUCAAUAAGCGGAGGA
rnacentral:misc_RNA from 1 species